GAGUGGCGGACGGGUGAGUAACACGUGGGUAACCUGCCCUUAAGUGGGGGAUAACAUUUGGAAACAGAUGCUAAUACCGCAUAGAUCCAAGAACCGCAUGGUUCUUGGCUGAAAGAUGGCGUAAGCUAUCGCUUUUGGAUGGACCCGCGGCGUAUUAGCUAGUUGGUGAGGUAAUGGCUCACCAAGGCGAUGAUACGUAGCCGAACUGAGAGGUUGAUCGGCCACAUUGGGACUGAGACACGGCCCAAACUCCUACGGGAGGCAGCAGUAGGGAAUCUUCCACAAUGGACGCAAGUCUGAUGGAGCAACGCCGCGUGAGUGAAGAAGGCUUUCGGGUCGU
rnacentral:rRNA from 2 species